AAUCUGUCCUAAAAUAUUUCGGCCUGUCAAUUCGCAGCGAGAUGGUGUCUAAAAUUAGUUCCCAAAUAUUGUUACAAAUGUGUUGAGUCCAAACAACUGGAAACUAAUGAGAGCAAGGAAUGGAUCGCGGCAAACGAAGUCCUCAAGUGGCUGCACAGCGAUUUAUGAAUUUUGUGAAAGACGAAGGCUCCAAAGGCAUUCAAUUGUACCGAAUUACUUGAACACACAAAUAGCUGACAGAUAAAUGUGCAGAAGUUAUGAGUGGAUGGCCAAAUAUACGUGCUGCAUCUUGUGAGACAACAAACAGUUGUCAAGAUUCUAUGUUUGCAUUGUUUAUUGGGUCAGGAUGAAGGAACCCUUUUCAAAUUAUCAUGUCUACAUACAAAUAACUGUCAUAGUGUCAGUACUUUUCAGUUUUAGAAUUUCUAUAUACUAAGAAGUAUUUUGAAAUUUGUUUAAUAGAUUUUCUGUUUUUGUAACUAUGUCCUUUUACUUAAAUUUGCUAGAAAUUUCCAGUGCUAAUGGAAAAACUAUCUCUAUAUCCAUACCAUUUGAUAAGUGCUUAUUACUUAGGCUAGUAUAGCCCACGAAGCAUAAAUAGACAGCCAUAGGAAUUAGAAUAUUUAUGGAAUUAUAUUUAAAUAUGUAUAAUAUAAUAUCAUAUAAUAUAUCAAACAUUUUUUUGCACUCUUUUAAAAACUGUCAUAAAGUGCGGCAAGUUACAUGCCAAUAGACAGCUGCCUGCCGAUGAUGGAAAGCCAAUCCAAGGUGAGCCAAAGUGGUAAGGAUUCCCGAAGCGCUGAGAGGGCGCAUCAAAUCCGCUGACAGACGACACGGAAAUUCGCUUUUUGCAAGCCCAGGGAAGAAACCCUUUGCCGAGUCGAAUAUGGGGUAAUAUUUAUUAAUCUCGGGCCCCUUGAACGCGGCGAUGCGUCAAACAAGAUUGACAAUGCCUCAUUCAGAUCAAUAACUCGCUGCGAGCUGCCUGUUAAAUGCUCGAGAGUCAACCCCCAAAUGAAAUUUGGUGACACACACGCAUUAAAAAAGACGCCGGCAUUUUUGCAACCCUUUCGCGGCGGAGUGGCAUAAAAAAUCGCGCCACUCUGGGGCAGGCGGAACGAACAAGUGCUGGACACACUGCACUGGGAGAAAGAAAUGAUGGAAAGAAAAAUACUUGGCAUAAAUCCAUUAUCUUUCAGGUGCAAAGGCUUUGGAUCUAACUAAAAAUGUAUCUAUCUUACUUAUAUAAAAAUUACAAUACAUAAAAGUAUUUUACAAA